UUUAACUCGCUUAUUGCUCAGUAAACGUAAGGUAGCCGAGAACAGUGGAAUGCUUCAACUGCUCCAUGAAGUUUCCUUCUCAUAGUCACAGGUAGGUUGGGGCUGGAUACUCGAGGUGAUACCAGGAAGUCUACAGAAAAGUGGCUGCCUCAAGAGAACAAGACCAGGGAUGUGAGCCAGGAGCACUUUCACAAUGCACGUGCAAAGUGUUGGAAACAAGAGUAGAGACACUGGCUAUAAAAGACCGUACAAAAUUCAUCAGUUCAUUACGAGUUUUCUGACGUGAAUAGAGAUCGAAAAAUGCCAAGAUUAACAGCAGCUGACCGAAAUAUCGCCAUGGGACGUUUGGAAGCAGGGGAGUCCCAGUUUGCCGUUGCAAGACACGUCAACGUUCACCAAAGCACCAUAUCUCGACUAUGGGAUCGAUAUACCCGCACUAAUUCGACUCAAGAUCAUCCCAGAAGUGGAAGACCAAGAGUGACCACCCCUGCUCAGGAUCGGUACAUCCGGUUGCAUUACCUUCGGAAUCGAUUUGCUACAGCAACGGACACUGCAGGGCAAGUGCCUGGUUCGGAAGAAUUUCCGACCAAACCAUCAGAAAUCGUCUGAGGUAAGUGGGAAUUCGAGCGAGACGACCAAAAGUUGGACCUGUCUUGCGACGUCUACAAUGUCAACGACGUGUCCGGUGGUGCAACAGAGUUCAGGCACGGGAUCUCAGGAACUGGCGACGCGUUUGGUUCAGCGACGGGAUGGAAGAUAAAGUGUAUACCGACGUCGACAUGAACUGCGUUCGACAGGUGGACCGAUUUGGUGGAGGGAGUGUCAUGGUGUGGGGAGCCAUAUCCUACAUGGGUAGAUCACAGUUAGUCCAGGGCAAUCUUGCAGCAAACCGAUACAUAGACUAAAUUCUGCGUCCUCACCUCCUCCCAACUUUGGACCGCCAGAGGGAGCUGUUCCAACAUGACAAAGCUCGGCCCCACACAGCACGUGCAACAUUUAAUUUCCUUGUUAAUGAGAACAUCAAUGUCCUUCCAUGGCCGUCCAAAUCGCCUGAUCUCAAUCCGAUUGAACAUUUAUGGGACGAACUUGAUCGACGCGUCCGUCAACGUCACCAGAAUCCCCACACACUGGCACAACUCGCCAACGCCUUACAGGAGGAAUGGCGAAGAAUUCACCACGAAAUAAUCCGACGACUUGUGCAAUCUGUGCCAGGGAGGUGUCGAGCAGUGACGGCUGCAAGAGGUGGUGUGACCAGGUACUUACCAUGACGCCCCCUUGUGGCUACACAUGUGCAAUGACUGAACUGAAUUAAA